rnacentral:rRNA from 1 species
ACAGGGGGUGCAAACGUUGCUCGGAAUUAUUGGGCGUAAAGCGUGCGCAGGCGGUUCGUUGUGUCGGCGGUGAAAGCCCCGGGCUCAACCUGGGAAUGGCCGUUGAAACUGGCGAACUGGAGUGUGGCAGAGGGGGGUGGAAUUCCGCGUGUAGCAGUGAAAUGCGUAGAGAUGUGGAGGAACACCGAUGGCGAAGGCAGCCCCCUGGGCUAACACUGACGCUCAGGCACGAAAGCGUGGGGAGCAAACAGGA